rnacentral:rRNA from 1 species
UGAACGCUGGCGGCGUGCCUAAUACAUGCAAGUCGAGCGACCAGACGAGGAGCUUGCUCCUCUGACGUUAGCGGCGGACGGGUGAGUAACACGUGGAUAACCUACCUAUAAGACUGGGAUAACUUCGGGAAACCGGAGCUAAUACCGGAUAAUAUAUUGAACCGCAUGGUUCAAUAGUGAAAGACGGUUUUGCUGUCACUUAUAGAUGGAUCCGUGCCGCAUUAGCUAGUUGGUAAGGUAACGGCUUACCAAGGCAACGAUGCGUAGCCGACCUGAGAGGGUGAUCGGCCACACUGGAACUGAGACACGGUCCAGACUCCUACGGGAGGCAGCAGUAGGGAAUCUUCCGCAAUGGGCGAAAGCUUGACGGAGCAACGCCGCGUGAGUGAUGAAGGUCUUCGGAUCGUAAAACUCUGUUAUUAGGGAAGAACAAAUGUGUAAGUAACUAUGCACGUCUUGACGGUACCUAAUCAGAAAGCCACGGCUAACUACGUG